AUGGGAAGUGUGGACGUGUUUGUCAGAGCUGUACGGGAUUAGGCCCGCUCCUUCGUACCCACCGCCUGAAUUUAUUUUGUGGACGCUUUCUUCUGUUCCCGUGGUAGCGGACAUUACUGGGAGGAACGAGAGUGAGGAGGAGGAAGACGUUAGUCCUCGGACCCUUUCUAAGAGUCAUCUCGAGGAGUAAGGCGAAGAUGGACACGCUGCGUCCUGCGUGGGCAUGCACAUUAGGGCUGUACGGAAUUCCCAAGCCAGGUGCGGGGUGCCCAGUGAAGGGAGAUCCCCAAAAUAAGCCUCCUGAAAGAAUGGCUAUAAUAAGAUCCAGGGUUUGACAGUCCAAGCUAAUAUCCAGGGAUCCUUGACCAAAUGACCUGAGAAAAUCGGAUCUGAGGCAAAAGAAGUGUAACUAGACGAAGCGGAAGCGAGGAGAAUGGACUAAGACUCUGUAGGGAGUUCCCACCAAGAAGGAGGCCCUCAUCAGAUAUGACUCCUGGAUUUUGGACGUCCUGUCCUCCAAGACUGAGUCAAAGACUGAGAGACGAAUAAAGCUUAUGGGAUAUUGAAAAGAGUUCCAGUUUGGAAUCUGGAAGGCCUGUUGUUUGAACCUCAGCUGUGCCUGUCGUAUGGCCUUAAGCAAGUAAGUCACUUCAGCUUUCUGAGCCAGAGUUUCUUCACUUGUCAAAUAUGUCUCGUAAUACUACAUACUCACAGGAUCUUUGUGAAGAGUCCUGAGGGAGAAGCGUGUGUGUGCGCACGUGCAUGCACACACACAUAUACUUUCCGCCACAUAUGGUAAGUAUUCAGUAAUUGGAAGCUACAUUACUUACUUUAGAGUUAAUGGGAAUGUUUCACACAUUCUGGCAAUAGGUUCCUUGUCAGUCUUACUUUUCAGGGGUUGCUGUAAACUUUUCUCCUCUUCUGGGUCGUCUUAGGUAUUUUUGUCAGAAGCUGGGGGAGGUAGCAUCAAGGACUGUUCAUCAAAGGCCUUCUUAAACUGGAAGCCCGUAAAUAAAAAUAAAAGACGUGAUGAUUUUUUCACCAAUUGUAAUGACGACAACAACAACAAAAGAACCCGCAAAAGUUUCAUAAAGUGCUCUGUUAGCAAGGCUAUGGGAAACUCCUAUGCAUUGUUGGUGACAAUAUGAUCUGGUACACCCUUUGAAGACAGUUUAGGAAGUCUAGCAAAUUAUGAACGCGUAAAGCCUCUAACCCGGCAAUUUCACCUCUGGAAAUUUAUCUCACAGACACACCAGUAUUUAUACACGUUUGAAAUAACAUAUGUGCCAGGUUGUUCACUGCAGCAUUGUUUGUAAUAGCAAAACCAAACGUCUGUCAUUAGAUAAAUUAUACAGCAAAGCUAUGAAAAAGAAUGAGGAAGCAUUCUGUAUACUGACAGGGGGAGACCAACAAGAUACAUUGUUAAGCAACUAAAAAAAGUGUUCAGAAAAGUACAUAUUGUAUACUACAUAUUGUACAAAAAUGGAUGGGGGCCAUCUCCUUAUUUGAACACACACACACUUGAAGUUUACAGAAGAAACAAAUAACAAUGGUCAACUGUAUGUGUGAGGAGGGCAGGUAGGAAUUGGGUAGAUGGAAGAUUAAGUUGGGAGGGACACUUUUCACUGUAUACCUUUUCUUAUUUUUUGUUUUUUGAUACAUGUCAUAUAUUACCUUUUUGUGGAAUAUACUAAAAAGCAUAUGUACUUCACAGGGCCUGGUUUUCCAAAGCCUUGCAAUUUCAGAUAUUGACCUUGCAAGGACAGGAAAUUUUCCCCAGUCUAGUGAGUCUUUGUUGCAAGAUAAGAAUUGUGGCACAGCAGGUUGCUGGCUCAAAGACAGACUAGUUACUGAUUGUUAUGUAAAGGUACUGAGAAACUGUAGAGGGAGAAGGAAUGUUUGCUAAGAUCAAGCUUGUGUUGAUAAGACCACUUAAUUGCCUUACUGGAAUGUCAUCUGGGUUGUUUCACUGAAAGUUACCAGCCUAUAUUGUUAAACUAUAACCCCACCUUUGUUCUCUUCCUGUAAUUUCCUGGUCUGGAAAAUAAAUGCAGGAAGAGAACCCCAAUUCGGUGUUAAUUUCCCAAGGAAGGGAUCCCUCUCGCUUGAGGGUUCCGGCGGGAGAUUAACCACUUUGGGGCCUCUCACUGCUCAGAAGAGAUGGGCUUUGAGUAGUCCUUUGCAUCUCCGUCACCCAGGGGAAGUGGGGUGACAAAUCCGUGGGGGGGCGAAGCAACACAAAGCAACACCUUUUCAGUAAAUUUUAUUUUCAAAAUACAAUGAUAAAGUUGGACAGUGCUUGCAAUAUGCAUGAUAAACGGUUAAUAUCUAUUGCAUAGCUAAUUUUGUAAGUUAAAGUACAUUCCCAAAGAAUUAUGUACAAAGACAGUCAUUGUACUUUAUUAAUAGCAGUGAAAUAGGAACAGCUAAAUGUGUAAUAAGAGAGUGAGUGAUUAAAUGAUAGUGUAUGGCUCUUUGGUAGGUCGAUUAUUUGACAACCAUUAGAAAUAUUGUCUGGAAGAAUUCUUCAUGAUGUGAAAAAAUGCUCAUUAAUUCAAAACAUUAUGAUCACCAUUUCAUUAUGUGUGUGGGUCCAUGUAUGUGUAAUUAUCUGAAGUAUCUGUAAAUAGAGAAA